AUCACUUCCUGGCCUUUUGGCUAAGAUCAAGUGUAGGUCUGAUCUCCUUGCAGUUCAA
rnacentral:snRNA from 1 species